GGGGCCAUAGCUCAGCUGGGAGAGCGCCUGCUUUGCACGCAGGAGGUCAGGAGUUCGAUCCUCUGCUCCACCA
rnacentral:tRNA from 1 species